UGCGGUUAUACAAAAAUUAAAUUAAUUUCUUUUAGGGUUUAAUAAAUAAUAAUAAUUUAUUAAAUAAUUUAAAUUUUAAAUUAAAAGGUGAAAUUUUAAUUUAAUUAAAACUUAUUUGUUUUUAUGAUAUUAAUAAAUUUUAUAAAAAACUAGGAUUAGAUACCCUACUAUAAAAAUUUAAAUUUAAUAAUCUUAAAAUAGUAUAUAAUUUUUUGUAGAAACUUAAAUAAUUUGGCGGUAUUUUAGUUCAUUUAGAGGAAUCUGUUUAAUAAUUGAUAAUCCACGAUUAAAUUUACUUAAUUUUUAAUUUUGUAUAUCGUUGUUAAAAAAAUAUUUUUAUAUAAAAAUAAUAUUUUAAAAUUUUGAUAAAAAAUUAAAUCAGAUCAAGAUGCAGAUUAUAAUUAAGAAUAUAAUGGAUUACAAUAAAUUUUAUUUUUGGAUAUUAAUUUGAAAUAAGUUAGUUGAAAUUGGAUUUAAAUGUAAUUUUAUUAAUUUUGUUAAAAUGAUUUUAAAUUAAAAUAUGUACAUAUUGCCCGUCGCUUUCAUUUAUAAAUUGAAAUAAGUCGUAACAAAGUAGAGGUACUGGAAAGUGUUUCUAGAAAGGU
rnacentral:rRNA from 1 species